rnacentral:lncRNA from 1 species
GUCUUGCUGGAAAGAGCUUCCUAAUAGCACGGCUGUGAGUGAAACCAGCACAGUAUGUUCAGUGUGGAGGUCCUCCUGAUUUCACAUGGAUCCAAACUGUCUAAAAAACUCCCUGCUUCAUACAAGAACAGAUAUGAUGGAUACUGAUUAUCUGCAUGAAUCCACAGGGAACAUAUCUGCUCAGAGGACACCGAAUGGUCCUGAAGUAGAACCUGAGAACCAAUUCAACCAGCGCUGAAAGCAGCCAUGGGACCCAAGGGAGGCAAGUGGGCCCUAGUUAUCACCAUGACCUUCAGGGUUUGUCCCCUUUUCAUACUUCAGAAGGGAGGAAAAAAGGAAUCAAAAUCCAGGAAAGAGGGAACCUAUCAGAAAAAAAAAAUGCAGAAGACCCUACUAAAACUAGAAGUAAUUACAGGGGGAGCGCUAAAAUGCUCAAGAAUAUUAUACGUAUUGUACUACAGUUGCUCUGUGUUUUAUGAAGAACAAAGCAUCAGUAAAGAAGGAACAAGCUCAGUCUUAACACAUUUAGAG